UACGUAGGUGGCGAGCGUUGUCCGGAAUCACUGGGCGUAAAGGGCGCGUAGGCGGCGCGGAUAGUCGGCGGUGAAAGCCCGGAGCUCAACUCCGGGUCGGCCGUCGAUACUUCCGGGCUUGAGCACUGUAGAGGCAGAUGGAAUUCCGGGUGUAGCGGUGGAAUGCGUAGAGAUCCGGAAGAACACCGGUGGCGAAGGCGGUCUGCUGGGCAGUUGCUGACGCUGAUGCGCGACAGCGUGGGGAGCAAACAGG
rnacentral:rRNA from 1 species